GCAGUCCUCAGUCUAAGCUGGCAGUAUCGACAAAGACUAUAACACACUACCGAAGCAGUGCCACAUUUCUUUGCACUUAUCCUACCGCUCAAACUGAUGCUGGCCCGGUAAACUGUAGAGGCCACCCCCGAGAGAGUAACAUACAAAAUACCAAGUCUGAUCUCAAGCCCUUCCCUUUCAACAAUUUCACGUACUUUUUCACUCUCUUUUCAAAGUUCUUUUCAUCUUUCCAUCACUGUACUUGUUCGCUAUCGGUCUCUCGCCAAUAUUUAGCUUUAGAUGGAAUUUACCACCCACUUAGAGCUGCAUUCCCAAACAACUCGACUCUUCGAAGGAACUUUACAUAGGUCUGGGACAUCUCAUCGCACGGGAUUCUCACCCUCUGUGACGUUCUGUUCCAAGAAACAUAGACAAGAGCCAGACCCAAAGAUACCUUCUUCAAAUUACAACUCGGACACUGAAAGUGCCAGAUUUCAAAUUUGAGCUUUUGCCGCUUCACUCGCCGCUACUAAGGCAAUCCCUGUUGGUUUCUUUUCCUCCGCUUAUUGAUAUGCUUAAGUUCAGCGGGUAGUCCUACCUGAUUUGAGGUCGAAUUUGGAAGAAGUUUUGGAGUUUGUACCAAUGAGUGGAAAAAACCUAUCCAUUAGUUUAUACUCCGCCUUUCUUUCAAGCAAACCCAGCGUAUCGCUCAACACCAAACCCGAGGGUUUGAGGGAGAAAUGACGCUCAAACAGGCAUGCCCUUUGGAAUACCAAAGGGCGCAAUGUGCGUUCAAAGAUUCGAUGAUUCACGAAUAUCUGCAAUUCAUAUUACUUAUCGCAU
rnacentral:rRNA from 1 species